rnacentral:rRNA from 1 species
GGCGUGCCUAAUACAUGCAAGUCGAGCGAAUCGAUGGGAGCUUGCUCCCUGAGAUUAGCGGCGGACGGGUGAGUAACACGUGGGCAACCUGCCUAUAAGACUGGGAUAACUUCGGGAAACCGGAGCUAAUACCGGAUACGUUCUUUUCUCGCAUGAGAGAAGAUGGAAAGACGGUUUACGCUGUCACUUAUAGAUGGGCCCGCGGCGCAUUAGCUAGUUGGUGAGGUAAUGGCUCACCAAGGCGACGAUGCGUAGCCGACCUGAGAGGGUGAUCGGCCACACUGGGACUGAGACACGGCCCAGACUCCUACGGGAGGCAGCAGUAGGGAAUCUUCCGCAAUGGACGAAAGUCUGACGGAGCAACGCCGCGUGAACGAAGAAGGCCUUCGGGUCGUAAAGUUCUGUUGUUAGGGAAGAACAAGUACCAGAGUAACUGCUGGUACCUUGACGGUACCUAACCAGAAAGCCACGGCUAACUACGUGCCAGCAGCCGCGGUAAUACGUAGGUGGCAAGCGUUGUCCGGAAUUAUUGGGCGUAAAGCGCGCGCAGGUGGUUCCUUAAGUCUGAUGUGAAAGCCCACGGCUCAACCGUGGAGGGUCAUUGUAAACUGGGGAACUUGGGUGCCGAAGAAGAAAGUGGAAAUCCCAGUGGUGCGGUGAAAUGCGUA